rnacentral:rRNA from 1 species
CAGUCGCCGCGGUAAUACGUAGGGUGCAAGCGUUAAUCGGAAUUACUGGGCGUAAAGCGUGCGCAGGCGGUUAUAUAAGUCAGAUGUGAAAUCCCCGGGCUCAACCUGGGAACUGCAUUUGAGACUGUAUGGCUAGAGUGUGUCAGAGGGGGGUAGAAUUCCACGUGUAGCAGUGAAAUGCGUAGAUAUAUGGAGGAACACCGGUGGCGAAAGCGGCCCUCUGGCUUGUAACUGACGCUGAGGCUCGAAAGCGUGGGGAGCAAACAGGAUUAGAUACCCCCGUAGUCCCUGUCUCUUAUAA